CACAGCUCCACCACAGUCACCGCCCAUAAUCUCUGAUCCUCCUGCACCAAGAGUUGGCAUUGGUGGGAUUUCUGUGUCUGAGUCACUGUUGCCUACUAUCUACUGCAGACAGGAUAUUUCACACAGAAGACAUACCUGCUGACAGCUCUGGGGUUGCAUUCACAAAGCUCCCUUCCUCUAUUCAAUUCAAAAACUUUCAAGACAAGACUCAGAUUGGCUUGACGGAAUCAUAUGCCAACUCCUACGUAUAGGAGAUAGGAUAGUACUACAGAUAAACCCAAAUGCAAAAGGAGCAAAUCUGUAAAACAAAGGGGAUGCACUUCCUAGAAGAAAGGUGAGGCUGAGCACUUUGGCUCACAUAUGUAAUCCC
rnacentral:lncRNA from 1 species